UUUGGCCAAGCUAACGCACACCUGCGACGCUCAUUCUUGACUGAAUUGCCGUAAAAAACAACCACUGGAAUUCACUUUACGCACAAAACGACUUUAGAACGCAGCAGGAUGUGGAAAGCGUAGGA
rnacentral:sRNA from 1 species